GAGAGCAAGAACAGCCCGCAGGUCCCGAGGCGCUUGCAGGGGACUCUGCCGCGGAAAGUUCCCAGUCCCCAGCCGCAGGUGUUUUCCCUCCUGCUGAUCGUGGAAAGAAAUCACCAAGAAGAGGGGAAAGUUGCCCCGGGGCCGAAGCUUUUUAUUUUUGGUUGAUUCCUGCUGUCUACUCCUCUUGGUGAAGUCCUUCUACCUAGUUCCCCUUCCUUGUGCACAGAAGAGGACUGGAAAACUCCUCACAGGACUGCAUACUGCUAUCUCUGAGAAACCAGAAAGAAGAAAGUACCUCUUCCUUCCAAGCUUCUACCUAAGAGUAUACUGGAAGGUUUACCUAGAGCAACAAGACAACGAAAUGGAUUGUCCUUCUCACGCUAGUCCACACACAAUCCUCAUCAUUUUGAUAAGAUAGCAUGAAGUCUCUUAUCGCUUGUGGAUCCAGCACUUUGGUUCAGAAAUGAGACAGUCAUCAUCUUCAAGGUGAAGAAAUACAGUUUGUCCCUUCCUCUCAAAAUGAAGAAAGCUACAUUCAUGUAUAUGUAUCUGGACUUCAUUAAUUUGUUUCUAUUUCCAUUUUGUUACCUCUCUGAGACAAGUAUGAAGCUUGUCUCUAAAAUUAUAGUUAUGUACUAUUACUCAUUUGAAAUGAUAAUAAUUACUCAUUAAUAAAUACUAAAAUAUUUGAAACCACAAAGCAUUUAAAUUCCUCAUAAGGGGCUAUAGAUGGAAUUAUAAGAGAAAAUACCCUUAAGGUGAUUCCCCAUGACGAUGAAUUAUUCCUGGAGAAUUUGCAACCCUACUGUGACCAUUAGUAUCUGCUGGAUUUCCCUGCUCUAAGAGGCUAAUGUAUCUGACCAACUAAUCAGAGGAACCAUGAGAGCAGAUGAUGCCUGAACCUUCAUUACUUGUCUUUCCUGCUUCUGUAAUUUUGAUGCUUUGUUAUUUUCUGUCUCUGUGCUCAAACACUGAUUGGUUAUUCAAACCAAUGACAAGCUGAAGAAUUGGACAGUCUUCCAGGUGAUUUAUUUUCUAUUUCUUAUUUCUGAAACCUAAAUGUAGCUCAUGUUGUGUAAGAAAAGUCAUCUCUUGACUUUCUGAAAAAUAAUUUUCUGAUCUUUGUCUUGUAUUGUCAAUAGCUUCCUAUACCCUAUACAAACACCAUUGCACUGGCGUGGUAGAGAAAUGCCAUCUAACCUUUUAUUUAAUGAUUAUUAUGUUGGCUGUACUAGAUAAACACAAACCACAGAAAUCAAAA
rnacentral:lncRNA from 1 species